UGGAAGUUGAUUCUUCCCUACUCAAAAUUACAGAUUUAGUGUAUAAUUCUUAAAACCCUGAAAUGUUACAGAUUUAAUUUGACCGACAGAAGCAAAAGACCUGUGAAUAUGUUAUCUUACAUGGCCAAAACGACGUUGCAGGUGUGCUGAAAGUCACAAGUCUUGAGAUGGGAAAAUUGUCCUGCAUCAUCCUGAUGGAUUACAUCUAAUCCCAUCGGUCCUUAAAAGAGAAGAAUCUUUCCCAGGGAGAAAGAUAUAAUAUGAGAAGGACUUGACCCUGUGUGUCUGGCUUUGAAGGUGGAGAAAUGUAGUCAUAAGCCAAUCAACGCAGCUGUCUCUAGAAGCGGAAACUACCUUCAGUACAGAACCAGCAGGAAAACAGAAACCUUGGUCCUAUAGCUGCAAAGAACAGAGCUCUACUAACCACAGCAGAGAGCAAAGAACAAUUGCCUUAGAGCUUCCAGAAACAAUGCAGCAGAUCACCAAUUUCCUUUUAGUCUGGCCAGUUGUGUAUAAACCUUCUGACCUAUAGUAUAGACCUGUGAGAUAAUAAAUAUGUGCUGUUUUAUACCACUAAGAUUUUUGGCAAUUUAUUUUCAGAGCAGUAUUAACACAGGGAAGAAAAG
rnacentral:lncRNA from 1 species